CGCGUGAGGGAUGAAGGCCUUCGGGUUGUAAACCUCUUUCAGUAGGGAAGAAGCGAAAGUGACGGUACCUAAAGAAGAAGCACCGGCUAACUAUGUGCCAGCAGCCGCGGUAAUACAUAGGGUGCAAGCGUUGUCCGGAAUUAUUGGGCGUAAAGAGCUCGUAGGUCGUUUGUCACGUCGAUUGUGAAAAUCUGAGGCUCAACCUCAGACCUGCAGUCGAUACGGACAAACUAGAGUGUGGUAGGGGAGACUGGAAUUCCUGGUGUAGCGGUGGAAUGCGCAGAUAUCAGGAGGAACACCAAUGGCGAAGGCAGGUCUCUGGGCCAUAACUGACACUGAGGAGCGAAAGCGCGGGGAGCGAACAGGAUUAGAUACCCUGGUAGUCCGCGCCGUAAACGGUGGGCACUAGUUGUGGGAACCUUCCACGGUUUCCGCGACGCAGCAAACGCAUUAAGUGCCCCGCCUGGGGAGUACGAUCGCAAGAUUAAAACUCAAAGGAAUUGACGGGGCCCCGCACAAGCAGCGGAGCAUGCGGCUUAAUUCGACGCAACGCGAAGAACCUUACCAAGGCUUGACAUAUAGCGAAAAGUGGCAGAGAUGUCAUGUUCG
rnacentral:rRNA from 1 species